rnacentral:rRNA from 1 species
CCUACGGGGGGCAGCAGUGAGGAAUAUUGGUCAAUGGGCGCGAGCCUGAACCAGCCAAGUCGCGUGAGGGAGGACGGCCCUACGGGUUGUAAACCUCUUUUGCCGGGGAGCAACGGGCGUCACGUGUGGCGCCCCUGAGAGUACCCGGAGAAAAAGCAUCGGCUAACUCCGUGCCAGCAGCCGCGGUAAUACGGAGGAUGCGAGCGUUAUCCGGAUUUAUUGGGUUUAAAGGGUGCGUAGGCGGAUCGUUAAGUCAGUGGUCAAAUUGAGGGGCUCAACCCCUUCCCGCCAUUGAAACUGGCGCUCUUGAGUGGAAGAGAAGUAGGCGGAAUGCGUGGUGUAGCGGUGAAAUGCAUAGAUAUCACGCAGAACCCCGAUUGCGAAGGCAGCACGCCGGCUUCCGACUGACGCUGAAGCACGAAAGCGUGGGGAUCGAACAGGAUUAGAUACCCGAGUAGUC